rnacentral:lncRNA from 1 species
CCCCAAGCUUGAGCUCUUUCCACUCUUUAUCUCUUUUUCCAUAAGAACUUCACCCAAAUCUUGUAAACUUCACAACACGAAACUUAAACAGAAACUCGUGAUAACAUUAGUACAAGAAAGCAAACCACCACUUCCUUAGGUACUGUAGCAAACUUAAAUUCUACUUGUGCUGAUGUUGGGUUACUGUAAUUUCAAUCUUACAUGACUAAUACCCCCCGAUGCUAUCCAUAGUUUCAUCAAAAUAAGCAACCAACACAAAAACAACAGAAUCUGUUAAUAGCAGACCAGUCUGUAGCAAUCUGUAUAUUUCAUAUACUUAUGGUACUUCAAACAUUCUGAACAAUUACGACAGUCUGUCUAAUUUGCGUAGCAAUUAGAAGCAAAAAGAA